GAUGAACGCUGGCGGCGUGCCUAAUACAUGCAAGUCGAACGCUGAAGGAGGAGCUUGCUCUUCUGGAUGAGUCGCGAACGGGUGAGUAACGCGUAGGUAACCUGCCUGGUAGCGGGGGAUAACUAUUGGAAACGAUAGCUAAUACCGCAUGACAACAGUUAUUGCAUGAUAACUGUUUAAAAGGGGCAACUGCUCCACUACCAGAUGGACCUGCGUUGUAUUAGCUAGUUGGUGAGGUAACGGCUCACCAAGGCGACGAUACAUAGCCGACCUGAGAGGGGGAUCGGCCACACUGGGACUGAGACACGGCCCAGACUCCUACGGGAGGCAGCAGUAGGGAGACUUCGGCAAUGGACGGAAGUCUGACCGGGCAACGCCGCGUGAGUGAAGAAGGUUUUCGGAUCGUAAAGCUCUGUUGUAAGAGAAGAACGAGUGUGAGAGUGGAAAGUUCACACUGUGACGGUAUCUUACCAGAAAGGGACGGCUAACUACGUG
rnacentral:rRNA from 1 species